GAAAAAUUACAGGGUAGGAGCUCUUUCAGCAGUUCCAGCGAUAACAGUGAGCAAGUUGUUUCCGAAUGGGUCGCUCAGAUGGGCUGCAAGGUUCUCAACAGGGCCUUCUCCUGUAACGUAAGCUUGGAUGAAGAAGCCAAGCAUGGCAAACAUCGCCAGUCUACCAUUCUUAAUCUCCUUCACCUUAAGCAGUGCAGCCUGGUCUGGGUCAUUUGCAAGCCCCAGAGGAUCAAAAGGACCACCUGGGUGAAGCUUGUCCUCCAAAUCCUACAGCAAAAAGACCAAUAAUGAGAUCAUAUGACCAGUGAUGCUACAUCUUUGGGCAUACUAAUGAAUGUUGACUUAAUGCAAUAUUAAGAAUUCGUUUCAUAGUGAUUCUAAAAAGCAAUUCUAGCAUUUCUAAUACUUGAAAAUUUUUAUUGAAGAGUUGUUUUCAGGUAUUAAAAUGCUAAAAACGCUUCUUAGAAUCACGAUCGAUCAAACAAGCUCUAAAUCAAGUUUCAACAUCCAGUUUUACAGUAAUAAGGACUAAAAUGGACAGAAUAUGCAGAAAAAACAUGUGAUAUUUUGCUUAUUGCACACGAUACUUUUUAAAGACAUAUGCAGAAAAAACAUGUGAUAUUUUGCUUAUUACACACGAUACUUUUUAAAGACAUCCAGGGUAUUACUCGUAAACCCGAAAGGAACUUUUGAGACUAGGCUUUUAAAUGAAAGGGCAUUCAAGCAAUGGCACUGUAUUUACUUCCAAACUAAUAUACAAUUAUCAGAAGGUAUUGUUGAACACCUCUUUAGAACAUCUAAUACAAGAAAAGGAUAUUGAAAGAUAUGUAACGAGUAGAGGUUUAUAUACCAAGCCAUUGAUUAUUCUGUAGUACUCAGCACCACCAACAAGAACAACCUCAGCGACGACAGCAAAAAUAAGGUUAAUGGGGAUGUUCUUUCCGAAGUAAUUCAGUGUGUUCCCAUCAAGGAGUAAAGCUCCUGUCUGCAUUCAGGUCAGAAAACCUCAUCAGCCAAAGCAAAUGAUGAAUGAAAUAUUCAGAAACUUAUCAAUAAUUCCCGCAUCAGAAGAAGAUGAUGGGCAAUGGGCAAUGGGCAAUGGGCAAUGGGCAAUGGUGAAAUUUCUGUUAGGGGAAUGUUAAACUAAAAUAGACGAGUUUUUCAGACCCCAAGCUUUUCCACAUUCAUUGAUGUAAUUUUGUAGUGUAUUCUGCCUUCCUCGAAUUCCCCUUCUUGUGGGAGUACAAAUCCAAGGAAAGGGUGGAUAAAUUUUUUGAGGAAUUUGGAAAAGGGAAGUUAAGGAAGCAAACCUUGAACCACACAGCUUCAGGGCCGCAGUUGGCACCGAAUUUGUUGAAGGCCUCAGGGAUGAUGAAGCCAGCUGCGCCGAGCAUAGCCCACCGGGCGUGGAUCAGUUCAUAUGCUUGAUAUCUGCAACAAACCCCUCACGAAUUUCUCUUCAUCAGUGGCAUAAAACAGAUCCCUUUUUCUAGACAAUCCAGUACAAAUCUCAUUACAGUUCAAGGCAAAAAAAGGAAGAAUCAACCAACAGUUUCACUUACUU
rnacentral:lncRNA from 1 species